rnacentral:lncRNA from 1 species
AAAUAAUGCUAUACAUACAAAUUGGGGAUGAUCCUCAUGCGAUGUGUAAGUCAAUAAAAGGUAUGGAUAUGCGACACUUUAUUGACAUUAUCAUAUAAUGCCACCUCACAUGGGAUCAACCUCUAUUGGGAUGCUCUAUAUUUGCAUUUAACUUUUUCGCUUUGAUAGUCUACAGCGUCUGAGGGAAUUCCCACCAUUUCAAGUGUCUUUUCCCACACUAUACGAUGUUUCAACAUUAUGCGAUUCUUUAGAAGGAUUUGUGGGACGACAAUCUUGAGAAAUGUAGGCACAGACUGGCCAUUCAUCCGCUUUCAACAUCUCACAAUAUUCGAGAACUUGGGGAUCUGUGGCUGCGAAUAGUAUACUUCUAGAACCUGCAAUAGUCCAGAUUACAAAAGUAGCGAAGUCAGACCAAGUUCAGCAGAAAACUUAUUUUUCAUAAAAUAAAAUUUUAAAUAACAAUUUUAUCUAUCAUAUCCAGAUAGUCGCAUAUGCCAAUUGGAAAUUGCGUUACCACAUCUCUUAUAUCUAAGAUCAAAUAUAUUUCUCUGUCAUGCUUCAACACACGUUUGGUCCUUCCUCUUUUCUCAUCGGAAAUGUGUCAGCUUCCUCUAGUGCUGAAUAUGUGAUACAAAAAGAAUGAGCUGCCUCCCUGAUCCAAUUUUUGCGGAUGAAUACUGUCACUCUGGGGCAAUGUAUUCAGCACACUAUCUGGUGCAUGACAGUAUUUGGUUUGGUAGCUUCCUCUCAUUGUUUCAAUAGAUAGGGAGAAGAUUGAAUGAAAUUUUCCAUUGAUAAAGUGGCAGAGAUUCAUCAAUGUUUGGCAGGUGGACAUGUAAGUGUAGGAGAGUUUAUUACCUUUAAUCACUGGAUCUUUCAUGUUGGAUCAUCAAAAAAUUCAAGAAUUAUAGUAGAAACGUACCUGAACCAGACAUGGUUAAUGCAAUAGUUGAAUCUCGCGGUUUAGUCUUCCAAAUUACACGCAGCCCGUAAUUCUCUCUGGCGAUGGUAAACAGAACAAAAUGAGCAAAAUACGUACGUGUGAUUUGGGGACCAUAACCAUAUUUAUAUAUUGGCGUCCCUUAAUCUAAUUCGGCCAAUUAUAGAAUUAAGAACUUGGCUCGGUCUUUACACAUAAAAUACCCACACUUUAAUUGGAUGCAUUAAAGCCCAAAAUACCGAAGCCUUAUUGGAUUACCUUUAAUUGGACUUAACUGAAUUUGAUAACCUUUAAUUUAAUACACA